rnacentral:misc_RNA from 1 species
AAUUCUCAACCUCUUCAGCUUUUGCUAGUUUGAAGGCGGAUUGGAUUUUGGGGGCUUUGCGGGCUUUCUUUGGAAAGUCAGCUCCUCUUAAAUGCAUUAGCGGAAAACCCUUGUGGGACCGUCUUUGGUGUGAUAAUUAUCUACGCCAUCGCCGUGAAGCAGUUCAUUUUUACAAUGAGGGGCUUUCAGCUUCAAACCGUCCCUCUUCUGAAUGGGACAACAUUUUAUUGACAU